ACUCCUACGGGAGGCAGCAGUGGGGAAUAUUGCACAAUGGGCGCAAGCCUGAUGCAGCCAUGCCGCGUGUGUGAAGAAGGCCUUCGGGUUGUAAAGCACUUUCAGUUGUGAGGAAGGUGGUGUCGUUAAUAGCGGCAUCAUUUGACGUUAGCAACAGAAGAAGCACCGGCUAACUCCGUGCCAGCAGCCGCGGUAAUACGGAGGGUGCGAGCGUUAAUCGGAAUUACUGGGCGUAAAGCGCAUGCAGGUGGUUUGUUAAGUCAGAUGUGAAAGCCCGGGGCUCAACCUCGGAACUGCAUUUGAAACUGGCAGACUAGAGUACUGUAGAGGGGGGUAGAAUUUCAGGUGUAGCGGUGAAAUGCGUAGAGAUCUGAAGGAAUACCGGUGGCGAAGGCGGACCCCCU
rnacentral:rRNA from 1 species